rnacentral:rRNA from 1 species
UACGAAGGGUGCAAGCGUUACUCGGAAUUACUGGGCGUAAAGGGUGCGUAGGCGGUCGUUUAAGUCCGUUGUGAAAUCCCUGGGCUCAACCUGGGAAUGGCAGUGGAUACUGGACGGCUAGAAUGCGGUAGAGGGUAGUGGAAUUCCCGGUGUAGCAGUGAAAUGCGUAGAGAUCGGGAGGAACACCAGUGGCGAAGGCGGCUACCUGGACCAGCAUCGACGCUCAAGCACGAAAGCGUGGGGAGCAAACAGG